rnacentral:lncRNA from 1 species
AUGUCGUCUGAAGAAGGGAAGCUCUUCGUGGGAGGGCUCAACUUCAACACCCAUGAACAGGCACUUGAAAACUACUUUAGCAGCUUUGGGCCUAUCUCUGAGGUGGUUGUUGUCAAGGACCGGGAGACUCAAAGAUCCUGGGGUUUUGGCUUCAUCACCUUCACAAACCCAGAGCAUGCCUCAGAUGCGAUGAGAGCCAUGAAUGGAGAGUCCCUGGAUGGGCGCCAAAUCCGAGUUGAUCAUGCAGGAAAGUCUGCCAGGGGAUCCAGAGGGGGUGCCUUUGGUGGGCGUGGUCACAGUUACUCUAGAGGUGGUAGAGACCAGGGAUAUGGAAGUGGAAGAUAUGACAGUCAACCUGGAGAAUAUGGAUAUGGGUAUGGGUGGUCUAGAGACUACAGUGGCAGCCAGGGUGGCUAUGACUGCUACUCAGGAGGAAAUUACAGAGACAAUUAUGACAACUGA